rnacentral:rRNA from 1 species
GAUGAACGCUAGCUACAGGCUUAACACAUGCAAGUCGCGGGGCAGCAUGGGGGUUGCUUGCAAUCCCCGAUGGCGACCGGCGCACGGGUGAGUAACGCGUAUCCAACCUGCCCUUCACCACGGGAUAACCCGGCGAAAGUCGGACUAAUACCGUAUGUUGUCCAUUGACGGCAUCCGAUUUGGACGAAAGGCUUGGCGGUGAGGGAUGGGGAUGCGUCCGAUUAGCCAGACGGCGGGGUAACGGCCCACCGUGGCUACGAUCGGUAGGGGUUCUGAGAGGAAGGUCCCCCACACUGGAACUGAGACACGGUCCAGACUCCUACGGGAGGCAGCAGUGAGGAAUAUUGGUCAAUGGGCGUAAGCCUGAACCAGCCAAGUAGCGUGCAGGAUGACGGCCCUAUGGGUUGUAAACUGCUUUUAUGCGGGGAUAAAGUGGCCCACGUGGGGGCUUUUGCAGGCACCGCAUGAAUAAAGACCGGCUAAUUCCGU